CCAGCAUCUAAAAGGGAGGGAUCACAAUGAUGGUGUCGUGCAGAUAAGCAGCGCCCUACACCAGCAGCCACUCUCUUGUGUUAGCUCUCUAGGGCCACGAUUUGCCACACAUGGAACUGCCUCGGGAGCUUUAAGAAAUACUGAUGUCUGGGUCCCACUUCCUGAGAUUCUAAUUUGGUUGAUUUGGAGUAGUGCCCAGGCUUCUGUAUUGUUAAGAACCCCUCGGGUGAUGCUAAUUUGUAGCCAGGGAUUAGGUACAGGCCCUGGGAGAAGAGAGGUGCUAGAAGGCUGCCAUGCUGCCCUUUUCCUGUGUGUUAACGGGAUGUACAGCAGGAAGGGUACUCAGCCUAGAACUUCUUCUCAACUUGGGGCCCCCUCAGCAGCCACAUUGCUUCAGGUGGGAUUGGCGAGGGGCUGUCACUCAGGAUCGACUUGAGAUUGCAGACUUUGAUCCUUUUCAUUUCUUACAACUAUUGGGAUUUAGAAACGGGCCACGCCAAGAGAAAACAGGGGAAUGGACAAAUGGACCCCUCCCAAGGUUCCCCCCUCAUCAGAAAAGUAUAUGAUCCCCAGACCACCAGUGACAGAGGUAGAAGCAGCUAGCGGGGAAAAUCUAUAAUUACAUAGUAAAUGGAGUUUCUACCUGGUUGUUACAAUAAUAGGCCAAGCAAUUAGGAUACAAGUUUCCAGGAUCUUUUCCUAUAUUUCCAAAAAGACAAAUCACCCCCAGGAACAGAAUCUGCAUAUUGUAAUUAACUGAUAAAUAUUUCAUGCCUGGCUCAAACUUUCUCCUCUUCUAUUUAAUGGCCACAAACUUGAGCACAGAGGAAACUGGGGAAGAGGAGGGAGGGGAGGGCCGGAAGGCCCCACAUUGGCUUUGAGGGAGGGAGAAGCUGUCUCAGCUGCUGCUUUACUUUCCUCCUGUUCUUUUAAGGAAACAUUGCUCACCUGAGAAAAUCAGGUCCCAGGUGGCAGAAGAUGUAACUUGGGCUUCUUGGCCUCAGCCCUGACCUCCCCCAGAAGAGGCCAGUCUCUGGUGACCCUGGGGCGCUGGGAGCUGCCUGCUUUGGAGUCCAAGGGCCCGGUGUUUGAAUAUAAGCUCAGUUCUGCCAUUUAUUAACCAGUUGGUUUUUAAGAAAUUUACUCAAUUUAUCUGAAACUCAGUUUCUUCAUCUGUAAAACAGGCAUAGCAAUCUUUUCCUUGUAGGGUUGCCUGUGCCCAGGAGUAUUACACCUGAUAACUGUUGUUAUCAACAGUGACAGUGUAUAAUGAUUAGUCACCCCAUUGCAUCACAUUGCAUUGUAUCUCUUCCCUUGCCCAACCCCACCCCAAUGUUUAUGGCACUUAAUCGAAUGCUUCCUGUGAAUGGGGUGAAGACCUUACCUCAUUUAAUCAACACAACAUCUCUGUGAAGGGAGUAUAGUAUUACCUCCAUUUAUUAUCUGUAUUAUGCAAAUAAGGGAACUGGUACCUGUAGCAGUUGAGUUUCUAGCCCAGGGUCACCCCAGGAUGGGCUUAAGAGCACAGGCUUUGUGGUCUUUGAUAGUUUCAAAGCUGGGCUCUGCUGUUUCAUAAUAGCUAUAGGAUGCAGCGGAGUAAGCUACUUAACCUAAGUCUCAGUUUCUUCAUCUGUAAAUUGGGACUAUUCAUGGUACCUAUCUAUGCUCAGUCCCUCAGUUGUGUCCAACUCUUUGCAACCCUAUGGACUGUGGUCUGCCAGGAUCCUCUGUCCAUGGGAUUUUCCAGGCAGGAAUGCUGGAGUGGGUUGCCAUUUCCUUCUCCAGGGAUUCAUGGUACCUACCUGGAAGAUAACUGUGGUACUUAAGUGUGAAAUUUACGGGCAGUGCCUGACUUGGUACUGGCACUGCCAGGUGCCCAACAAGUAUUAGCCAUCCUCAUUUUGAUCCCCAUUAGACCAGAAGUGGCCUUUGGCAGCUCAGCCCUGGUGUCUCCUGCUGUUUGGUGGUGCUUGGAGGUUAAGUGUGUGAGGUUCUCCACAAGCCACAGAGCUGCUCUCUCAUUAACUCCCCCUCUCUCCCCACACACACUUCAGUACUCAGGACUUGGGAAAAAGGACACUAAACAGAUUAUGACUCCAUUUCGGGAAUUAAAUCAAAACUCAAGACUAACUCAAUUUGGCUUCCUACGAGAGGGAAAGGUUAAAAGGGAGUGAGGAGGCGUCUGGGUGCGCUCUCAGAAUGGUAAUGGGUUCUGGGUCCUUGCCCCCAGCUCUCAAAAGGGCCCUUGCCUGAGGGGGAUACCCUGGGGUGGGGGAGCAGAGGAGCCUUAGAGCUCUAGGUCACCUGGAGUGGCAAGGGGUUGGAAGAUGGCCCAGGAACAUUUCCCCAAGCAGGAUCUUCUCCUCACGGCCCUCAGUCAGCCCAGCCCUUGGCUGAAGGGGAUCCCAGGACUGGACAGGACUGGGGCUUAAAUGGGUAGAUGGGCCUUGAGGUGGUCACCUCAGAAGGAAUAUCUGUGCUGACCUGCUUCUUAAGACCUCGAAGCAACACUGAUACUAUAGUGUUUUAUGUUUAGAUACACUUGUUAGACAGCCCUAAGCACUGUGACCUGUGUUCUUGUAUGAACAUACAGUCUACAUGUGAAUAUCUGCCCAACUCUCAUUCAGCUUCCUGCAUUAACCCAGAUGAUUCUGAGCAACAUGAAAUAAAAAGUAAAAAUCGAUUUCUACUUCCGGAAAAGUGAUAAUUUCCCACAGCAUUUCCUCCUUUGCUGCUAACACUCUCCUUCCAGUCUUAUAAGGACCAUAUUUCCCCUUAUACAGAAGGGGAAACUGAGGCUCAAGGAGAUGGGUAGGUUGAAUCACAGAAGCAGUAAUCCAAGGAUGAACCCCGAACAGAAACCAGUGCCUUUAGGAGGAGACAGGGCAGGGAAAGCCGCUUUGGGUUUCACCUGGAGGUCCCAGGCCUCCCCAAAGUCCAGUGGGAUGGGGACAGCGCCUGGGAGGCCGUCGCUGCGGAGGGAGGGACUCAAGGGCUCGCCGAACAGCGGGGCCUCGGGCGAGAGCGUCGCCAGAGCGUCCUCAUUCCGCGAUUACUGUCAGGGGACCAUCCAUCAGCGCCGCCCGGGACGCUCGGCCAGACUGCCCGCCGCCCGCCCGGGUCUCUCCAGAUCGCAUUAGCGUGGAGUGAGGGCGCGCAGCGGCACCGGCUGCUGGGAGAGGGGCAGGCUGGCCACGCUGGGGGGUUGGGGACCUGGGCUCCCGCAGUGGAGCCGCUGCAGGGGCAAGGCGGAGGCUGCUUUAGAGGGUCUUCCUUCCAGUCUCCCGGCUCUGGCGUCUUAAGGUCGAGGAAGGGGGCACUAGAACACGGGAGCGGUGGGGGAGGGGAACCCAGGGCUCCAGGGAGGGGGCAAGGUAGUUUGGGAGACCUCUCUCACUCUUUACGGGUAAAGAGGAAAACGGGAAAGAGUUGGUUGGGGAGGGGAGAGAUUGAGAUAGGGAAGGGAGUGGAUUAAGUGGGAGUUGUUUAUUCUUUGCUCAGUGUCUGACUCUUAAGUGACCCCAUGGACUGUCGCCCGUCAGGCUCCUCUGUCCAUGGGAUUUUCCAGGCAAGAAUACUGGAGUGGGUUGCCAAUUCCUUCUCCAGGGAUCUUCCCAACCCAGGGAUGGAACUCAAGUCUCCUGCAUUGGAAAUACAUAUACAUGGUUGAGAACUCAAAAGGCAUCAAAAGUUAUACAGUGACAAGUUGUAUGUUUUCUUUUGCCUUGAAGACUGAGAGCUCCUUGGGGGCGGAGCUCAGUGCCCGUCCCCGGAUCUGCCCAGCAUCUAGGUGUGAAGGUCAGCAGGCCCCAGGGCUGCCCAGGAAGAGGCUGGUGAGCAGGGCAGUCCGGCAGCCCUCCUCGGUCCCAGGCUCCCUGAGCCGAGGGGAGGAGGCUGCUGACUCUAAAGAGGAUGUGAUGGACAGUUAUUGAAGGCACUCAGCUGGGGGCUCCACUCCAGUCUUAAUCUGAGCCGCCCUCGAGGAAAUCAUAACCAGCUCUUAAAAACAUGUUAAGACCAAAGCUAGUGUGUGUGUUUGAGCAGUGCUUCAGACAGCUGCUUAAUACUGGGGCCCUCUGGGCCUUUGAUUUCUCCACCCUUCGCCUGGCCCUCUCCCCCCAUCUGGCUGGUGUUUAUCGGCCAAGACAUUGUUUAAAUCACACUCAUUUCCUAUAAACAUUUCACUUGAAAUGCCAUCCACUGCUCCAGAAAUUCAUCUAUCACCAGCUCAGGACUGUACUCGAGGAGCCUCGGGGUGAUGGCUCCCCACCUCUUCCUCCUGUCCCCCAUCAUCCCUCCUCCCCUGACCCAUAUUCUCAGGUUUCACGCCCUAAGAACAACUUCCCCUCAGUGUAACCGUGCACUUAGUGCCAGGAUUAUUUAUAACAGUUGAGAUGGCAACAGGCUACAGGGAACAGCCCAGCCCAUGGACACUGUCUCUUACAAAGCUCAAUAAAUGGACUUGGAUCGCUAUUUA